ensembl:lncRNA
UUAUUUUUCCUUCAAGCCAGCUGACGUUCCUGCAGUGCUCUCUGUAUCCCUCUUUUACUUUUCAGCUUUAAAAUUUUCCAUUUUAGGUCAUCUUUUGUAAUCUCUCCUUUAGCCCAUACUCAGUCCAAAUGUGCUGAGCCCCCUCCAGUUCCAUCAGCUCCAUGCCUUGCCCAUUAAUUACCACUGUAGAGCUUGUCAGAUGGCUUUGAGAAACUCCCAGCCCCAGCGAUGCUGCGCCGUAGCCCCUUGCCUAGCCCAGCGGUAACAUCCGUGAAGAAUUCCCCUUUGCUAGUGAGCCAUGGUGACCUCUUCUUCCUGAAGCCAUGCUGGCUAUUUUCAGUUAAUCUGUGCUUUUCCAAAUGUUCUCCCUUUUGACUCUUAAAAGAGUUUCAAAGGCUUUUGCUCACAACUCAUGUCAAACUGACUAGUGUGUAGUUUCCUACUAUGUCUCUAUAGGUUCACUUUUAAAGUUAUGGCAUUAUGCAUUAGUCAUACUCCUUUUCCUCAGAGACCUCUCCUGAACUCAGUAAACUUACGAAAACAUCCACCAAAGUCUCUCCGGUUCCUACUGCUACUCUGUUCAGUGUCCUCUGAUGUCCUUGGCACCAGAGAGCCGAAACCUGGUCCUGUGGAAGACCCUGGGCACAUGCCUCAUCCUCACUGCGCCCCUGGAGCUCAGAGAAUGGCUUUGGAAAAGUUGUGAGUGAAUUAGAAAUGCAAACUGUGUGGAAAGAAAGGACGAGAGAGACGUGGCCUGAAGGCUGUCCCGAGGACUCAUCCUGACAGUGUCAGAGAUAUAAGGAAGGGCUGUGAUCACCUCCACCUCUCGCGCUGUGGGGUUUGAUCCUGGAAGGAGAUGGAAGGGAUCCAUGACGGGCUGCCCUGGAGCCAGUCCCUGCCACGAGGAGUCUCCCUCAUUGACGGGGAGGUAGCGCUGGAGGCUGGAAAUACAGGAUAAGAUAGGAAUGGAAGCCCGCAGCUGGGGAGCAGAGGAUCUGUCUGAUCGCAUCCUGGUUCUUGGGCUCAUUCUUUGCCUGUGCAAGUCCUUGAGCUCGAAGGAGGAUGAACUAUCCACCAUUUUUGGGCAAGGUGCUGUGCCAAAUUCGCAGCCCAGCCCUUGGCCCCAUGUCAGUCACCUUCAAAAGCUCAUCUUUCCCUUUUCCACCUCACUGAGCAUGGGGGACCCAGACAACUUCGUAAACUCGGGAUGUGGCAAAAGCCUUGCUGUAUCUCAGAGUACUGGAAUCUCUGUUUGAAGCUUCAAAAUCUUCCCAAAACUGCCAUGAACACAAAACAGUUCAAGCCCAAAUUUUUGAAGCUAUUUAUGUAUUGAGAGUCAGUAGGAAUUGCCAGAAGUGCUAAACUGUCUCUUAUCCUGAUCUUUUCUUGUUGUUAAAAAAAAAAAAAAAAAAGAGAGAGAGAGAGAGGGAAAAGAGAGAGAGUACAGUUCCUUGUUAUUUUAGGUUUCAACUACAAACUAUUGUCUCUUUGUAAAUUGAGACAAACAGGAAAAAAAUUGCUAUCUCAGUUUAGUUGGGAAUAUAUCAGCUGUGAAAACUCAAGAAAAUCAGACAAGUAGUGCUUGAAUUUCAGGCCUUAAUAAUAGAUAGCUAUUGCAGAUUCUGUAAUAUUACUUUUUUUACUAGUUCUAUCAUCAGACAAAUUUUCUACUUUUUGUGUUACUGAGUUUUUGUUGCAUGGACCAAUAGCAAUCAGAUGAUGGGCCACAAAAUAAUUUUAAGUUCCCAGCUCCUUCAAAUUGGUGUGCCUGGUCUCAGAUAUUCACACAUGGAAGUCAGCAGACAGGGUAAGAAAUGAAUGAAAAAACAUUCACAACAUAACCUAAUUGUGUGGUUGCAAAUAUGAACUGUCACAGCUGAUGGUAGAAUUUUUGGAAAGGUCGAGGAGUCCAUGGAUUGUUACAAAAAGCUCACAAGAUUUUUUGAUGAUAAAUGGUAGAGAAGCACUUCCCUAUGCUUCAAGCGCUUCUGAUUGAGAUUUAUGCAUGGCUUACUCUCUGAGUAUUGUUUGGAGAUGUUUUGAGGGUGGUUCCUUGUUCAUUCAUGUGUUCUGUGUAGCUGAGUAAGGAUGCUUCUGGUUCGUAAGUUUUAUUACCCAUGAUACUUAAGAGAGAACUUUAAAGGGGAUGUAUUUUCACUUGUGAGUGUAUGGUAUCUGGUGUUUAGAAGACAGUUCAAACAGCUGGAUUUGGCUCAAUUCAGCAAAUGCCCAUAUGGGACAGAUAAGUAAGUCAGC